GAACCUUGGUUUUAAUAAUAUGUAGGAUUAAUAAUAGUUAGUUGAUGAGGUCUCUGGUGUUGUUAGGGACCCUAAUCAAGAUCAUUAGCUCAUUAAAUGUAUUGUUUAUACAAUAUCUUUGUAUCAAUUUAUAAUUGUAGUCAAAUAUUGUCUUACUUAAUUAUAAGAUUAUGUUCACUUUGUUUUUA